rnacentral:tRNA from 1 species
UCCCUGGUGGCUCAGACGGUAAAGCAUCUGCUUGCAAUGUGGGAGACCCGGGUUUGAUUCCUGGGUCGGGAA